GGAGCUUGCUCCUUUGACGUUAGCGGCGGACGGGUGAGUAACACGUGGAUAACCUACCUAUAAGACUGGGAUAACUUCGGGAAACCGGAGCUAAUACCGGAUAACAUAUUGAACCGCAUGGUUCAAUAGUGAAAGGCGGCUUUGCUGUCACUUAUAGAUGGAUCCGCGCCGUAUUAGCUAGUUGGUAAGGUAACGGCUUACCAAGGCAACGAUACGUAGCCCACCUGAGAGGGUGAUCGGCCACACUGGAACUGAGACACGGUCCAGACUCCUACGGGAGGCAGCAGUAGGGAAUCUUCCGCAAUGGGCGAAAGCCUGACGGAGCAACGCCGCGUGAGUGAUGAAGGUCUUCGGAUCGUAAAACUCUGUUAUCAGGGAAGAACAAAUGUGUAAGUAACUGUGCACAUCUUGACGGUACCUGAUCAGAAAGCCACGGCUAACUACGUGCCAGCAGCCGCGGUAAUACGUAGGUGGCAAGCGUUAUCCGGAAUUAUUGGGCGUAAAGCGCGCGUAGGCGGUUUUUUAAGUCUGAUGUGAAAGCCCACGGCUCAACCGUGGAGGGUCAUUGGAAACUGGAAAACUUGAGUGCAGAAAAGGAAAGUGGAAUUCCAUGUGUAGCGGUGAAAUGC
rnacentral:rRNA from 1 species